rnacentral:rRNA from 1 species
ACGGCUCAGUAACACGUGGCUAACCUGCCCUUGGGACGGAAACACCCCUGGGAAACUGGGGCUAAUUUCCGAUAGGCGAAGAACUCUGGAAUGAGUUUUCACUUAAAGGGCGCUUAGAUCAUGCUUCUAGGCGUUGCCCAAGGAUGGGGCCGCGACCGAUCAGGUUGUUGGUGAGGUAAUGGCUCACCAAGCCUCUAACCGGUGCGGGCCGUGAGAGCGGGAGCCCGGAGAUGGGCACUGAGACAAGGGCCCAGGCCCUACGGGGCGCAGCAGUCGCGAAAACUUUGCAAUACACGAAAGUGUGACAGGGUCAUCCCGAGUGCCGUCCGCUGAGGAUGGCUUUUACUCAGUCUAGAACGCUGAGGGAAUAAGGAGAGGGCAAGUCUGGUGUCAGCCGCCGCGGUAAUACCAGCUCUCCGAGUGGUGUGGAUGUUUAUUGGGCCUAAAGCAUCCGUAGCUGGCUGGGCAAGUCCCCUGUUAAAUCCACCGAUUUAAUCGUUGGUGUGCGGGGGAAACUGCUCGGCUAGGGGACGAGAGAGGCAGACGGUAUUUCCGGGGUAGGGGUGAAAUCCUAUAAUCCCGGGAAGACCACCAGUGGCGAAGGCUGUCUGCUAGAACGCGCCCGACGGUGAGGGAUGAAAGCUGGGGGAGCGAACCGGAUUAGAUACCCGGGUAGUCCCAGCUGUAAACGAUGCAGGCUAGGUGUUUGGGCGGCCACGUGCCGCUCUAGUGCCGCAGGGAAGCCGUUAAGCCUGCCGCCUGGGGAGUACGAUCGCAAGAUUGAAACUUAAAGGAAUUGGCGGGGGAGCAC